rnacentral:rRNA from 1 species
UACAGAGGGUGCGAGCGUUAAUCGGAAUUACUGGGCGUAAAGCGUGCGUAGACGGUUAUCUAAGUCGGAUGUGAAAGCCCCGGGCUCAACCUGGGAAUUGCAUUCGAGACUGAAUAGCUAGGGUACGGUAGAGGGAAGUGGAAUUUCCGGUGUAGCGGUGAAAUGCGUAGAUAUCGAGAGGAACAUCGGUGGCGAAGGCGGCCUUCUGGACGGUGACUGACGCUGAGACGCGAAAGCGUGGGGAGCAAACAGG